rnacentral:rRNA from 1 species
CAAUAGCGUAUAUUAAAGUUGUUGCAGUUAAAAAGCUCGUAGUUGGACCUGUGGCGGUUCCUGUGGUCCGAUUUCGGUACUUGCGGGGACUGCCAUCCUUGGGUGGACCCUGUGUGGCAUUAGGUUGUCGUGCAGGAGAUGCCCAUCUUUUACUGUGAAAAAAUUAGAGUGUUCAAAGCAGGCUUAUGCCGUUGAAUAUAUUAGCAUGGAAUAAUGAGAUAGGACCUCGGUACUAUUUUGUUGGUUUGCGCACCGAGAUAAUGAUUAAUAGGGACAGCUGAGGGUAUUCGUAUUCCAUUGUCAGAGGUGAAAUUCUUGGAUUUCUGGAAGACGAACGAAAGCGAAAGCAUUUACCAAAAAUGUUUUCAUUAA